rnacentral:rRNA from 1 species
UACGUAGGGCGCAAGCGUUGUCCGGAAUUAUUGGGCGUAAAGAGCUCGUAGGCGGCUUGUCACGUCGGGUGUGAAAGCCCGGGGCUUAACCCCGGGUCUGCAUUCGAUACGGGCUGGCUAGAGUGUGGUAGGGGAGAUCGGAAUUCCUGGUGUAGCGGUGAAAUGCGCAGAUAUCAGGAGGAACACCGGUGGCGAAGGCGGAUCUCUGGGCCAUUACUGACACUGAGAAGCGAAAGCAUGGGGAGCGAACAGG